rnacentral:rRNA from 1 species
AACCCUUUGUGAACUUAUCCCAAAACGUUGCCUCGGCGCUGGCCGCCCCUCCCCCAGGGGAGGGGGCCCGAAUCCCAGGUGGUCAAACACCCGGGAGGAGGACAGCAGGCCCGCCGGUGGCCCACCAAACUCUUGUAUUCUGAGUAACAUCUGAGUAAAGCUUCUAAAUGAAUCAAAACUUUCAACAACGGAUCUCUUGGUUCUGGCAUCGAUGAAGAACGCAGCGAAAUGCGAUAAGUAAUGUGAAUUGCAGAAUUCAGUGAAUCAUCGAAUCUUUGAACGCACAUUGCGCCCUCUGGUAUUCCAGAGGGCAUGCCUGUUCGAGCGUCAUUUCAACCCUCAAGCCCAGCUUGGUGUUGGGGCAUUGCCUUCCCCCGGGAGGGCAAGCCCUGAAAUUCAGUGGCGAGCUCGCCAGGACUCCGAGCGUAGUAGUAAAACCCUCGCUUUGGACUGUUCUGGCGCGGCCCUGCCGUAAAACCCCCAAC